rnacentral:rRNA from 1 species
ACUCAAAUGAAUAGACGGGGGCUCACACAAGCGGUGGAGCAUGUGGCUUAAUUCGAGGCUACGCGCAGAACCUUAUCCUGGGCUUGACAUGCACGGAUUAGCCGGCGGAAACGUCGGUGAGGCCGCAAGGUACAACGUGCACAGGUGCUGCAUGGCUGUCGUCAGCUCGUGUCGUGAGAUGUUGGGUUAAGUCCCGUAACGAGCGAAACCCUUGCCCUUAGUUGCCAGCACGUCAUGGUGGGAACUCUAAGGGGACCGCCGGCGUUAAGCCGGAGGAAGGCGGGGAUGACGUCAAGUCCUCAUGGCCCUUAUGCCCAGGGCUGCACACGUGCUACAAUGGGCCGGACAGAGCGUUGCCAAGUCGCAAGGCCGAGCUAAUCGCAAAAACCGGCCCUCAGUUCGGAUUGUGGGCUGCAACCCGCCCACAUGAAGCUGGAAUCGCUAGUAAUCGCGGAUCAGCACGCCGCGGUGAAUGGGUUCCUGAGCCUUGUACACACCGCCCGU